rnacentral:rRNA from 1 species
UACGGAGGAUGCAAGCGUUAUCCGGAAUGAUUGGGCGUAAAGCGUCCGCAGGUGGCCGUUUAAGUCUGCUGUCAAAGACCGGGGCUUAACUUCGGAAAGGCAGUGGAAACUGAACAGCUAGAGUAUGGUAGGGGCAGAGGGAAUUCCUGGUGUAGCGGUGAAAUGCGUAGAUAUCAGGAAGAACAUCGGUGGCGAAGGCGCUCUGCUGGACCAUAACUGACACUCAGGGACGAAAGCUAGGGGAGCGAAUGGG